ACAAUUUUUAAAAGCAUCACUUGAAAUAUAAAAAAUAGUUUUAACUGACAUUUGUAUUAUGCCACUAAAAAUAAUUAAACCCUAAGAAACAUCUUAUUAUCAAAAGAAAAAAAAAACAAUCUUCACACACGUAUCCCACUAGUUCACUAUUUGUCGCCGAACCUUUCUCCCAUUUUCUCCUUAAGAACAAUCUGACUAAAAAGAGUAAACCGUUCGGUGCCCUUCUCCUCGCUGCCCCCUUUUGCCUGCUAUUGUUACUGCACCUCUUUUGCGUGCUUUGUCCGCUCUUGGUGUCAGCGUUCCUUCUUAUUUGCUGCCAACGUUUGUUUUUCCACCACCACCGGUUGCCGUAAUUUCCAUUGCUAUUGAACCAGUACGCAACUUUUAUGAGGAGUCAAGGUGUGCUCUUAAAUGAUCGUGUAUGGCAUCAUGGCUGGAAGAGCUUCUAUGGGAAUUCCUACCAAUUUGAGCCUAACCACGCAGAUGCGAGCAAAGGUGUUAGAAGGGCAUGUCGAGAUGCUUAAUUGAUAUUUCCUAAUUUUAUAGAUUUGCAAGGCAUUACAUCAGAUAAGGUUCUCUUUGCUAAUUUUGGCUUUUCUAUUUCUUAAAAAUUCUAGUAUUAUUGCUUCCGAAACAAUUUGAAUGUUUUUUGUUUCUACUUUUUGUAGUGGAAAAGAGACACUUAUAACUAUUUCAUGGAAGACUUAUCUCUGUAUGAUAUAUGCCUUGUAGUUGCAACUAACCAUCAUUUGUAGUUUUUUUUAGUUUAUCUUUGUUUGUUGCUCAACCUCAUUUCGUUUAAAUCAUGUAUAUUAAUUUGAUAAUUUUAUAAGCACCAUGUAGUUCAAUGUUUUAUUUGAGGAUAAUUUUGCUCACUAUUUUAUCUUCUUUCAGUUCCUGCAUUAGGCUAGCUACCAAGUGCUUAGGAUGGUGCAUUUAAAGCUGUCUUCUAUAUUGAACACUAUAAAUAUUUAUAUACAAUGCUUUAUUGUUUGAAAAUGAACUUUACUGAUCUAAUGUGUUGGAGGUUUUAGCUCAAAUUCUCAUAUGUACAAAUUGAAUGGAUAUGCAAACAUAAAUGCUAUCAAAGCAUCUACAGAGCAAGGACAUAAUCACAUAUAAUGGGAUUCGUGUACGGAAUUGAAAUUUAGUUUUUAGUCUGCGUAAUUAUUAAGAAAAGGAUAUUUUUAUGAAUUAGAUUUUAUCUCUUUAGUGAUUUUAAUAUUGUCAUUAUUUAAAUGUCAUUAU